GAUGAACGCUGGCGGCGUGCCUAACACAUGCAAGUCGAACGGAAGGACGAUAAGAUCUCGCUCCUAAUGUUAGCGACGGACGGGUGAGUAACACGUGGAUAGCCUUCCACUUUGACUUGGGUAAUAACGGAAGGCAACAGCCACUACUAGAUAAUAUUUUCAACGGGAUGGUUCAAAAGUUCUUCAGGCUUUUGCUGACUCAAAUAGAUGGAUUCGCGCUGGAUUAGCUAGUUGGUAAGGUAACGGCCUACCAAGGCAACGAUGCAUAGCCGACCUGAGAGGAUGAUCGGCCACACUGGAACUGAGACACGGUCCAGACUCCUACGGGAGGCAGCAGUGGGGAAUCUUCCGCAAUGGGCGAAAGCCUGACGCAGCAACGCCGCGUGGGUGAAGAAGGUCUUCGGGUUGUAAAGCUCUUUUGUUGGGGAAGAACAGAUGUGGAUGUAACCGUGGCUGUUUUGACGGUACCCAAUGAAAAAGCCACGGCUAACUUCGUG
rnacentral:rRNA from 1 species